CGGCGAGCGGCGGACGGGUGAGUAAUGCCUGGGAAAUUGCCCAGUCGAGGGGGAUAACAGUUGGAAACGACUGCUAAUACCGCAUACGCCCUACGGGGGAAAGCAGGGGACCUUCGGGCCUUGCGCGAUUGGAUAUGCCCAGGUGGGUAUUAGCUAGUUGGUGAGGUAGUGGCUCACCAAGGCGACGAUCCCUAGCUGGUCUGAGAGGAUCACCAGCCGCACUGGAACUGAGACACGCUCCAGACUCCUACGGGAGGCAGCAGUGGGGAAUAUUGCACAAUGGGGGAAACCCUGAUGCAGCCUUGCCGCGUGUGUGAAGAAGGCCUUCGGGUUGUAAAGCAUUUUCGGCGAGGAGGAAAGGUCAGUAGCUAAUAUCUGCUGAGUGUGACGUUACUCGCAGAAGAAUGACCGGCUAACUCCGUGCCAGCAGCCGCGGUAAUACGGAGGGUGCAAGCGUUAAUCGGAAUUACUGGGCGUAAGCGCACGCAGGCGGUUGGAUCAUUUAGAUGUGAACCCCCGGGCUCAACCUG
rnacentral:rRNA from 1 species